CCUACGGGAGACAGCAGUGAGGAAUAUUGGUCAAUGGGCGCGAGCCUGAACCACCCAAGUCGCGUGAGGGAAGACGGUCCUAUGGAUUGUAAACCUCUUUUGUCGGGGAGCAAAAGACGCCACGCGUGGCGUUCCGAGAGUACCCGAAGAAAAAGCAUCGGCUAACUCCGUGCCAGCAGCCGCGGUAAUACGGAGGAUGCGAGCGUUAUCCGGAUUUAGUGGGUUUAAAGGGUGCGCAGGCGGAAGAUCAAGGCAGCGGUAAAAUUGAGAGGCUCAACCUCUUCGAGCCGUUGAAACUGGUUUUCUUGAGUGAGCGAGAAGUAGGCGGAAUGCGUGGUGUAGCGGUGAAAUGCAUAGAUAUCACGCAGAACUCCGAUUGCGAAGGCAGCAUACCGGCGCUCAACUGACGCUCAUGCACGAAAGUGUGGGUAUCGAACAGGAUUAGAUACCCCUGUAGUC
rnacentral:rRNA from 1 species